GGCGGUGUGGCUUAGUCGGUAGGGCGCUCGCUCUCCAACAAGAAGGACCUGGGUUUGAACCCCACUCUUUCCA
rnacentral:tRNA from 1 species